rnacentral:lncRNA from 1 species
GAGCCCUUUAAAAGAGAAUCUGGAGAUCAGAGACUUACAGACUCGAAAUAAAUUCUCUUUCUCUCUCUUGCUCUUUUGCUGGCUUUGAAGAAGCAAGAAUUCUACAGCUGCAAGAAAAUGAAUUCUGCCAAUGACCACAUGAACUUGGAAGAGGACCUCAAGCCUCAAACCUCAGAUGAGACCACAGCGCCAGCUGAUAUGUUGACUUGAGGUUUGUGAGACAUUGAGUAGAAGACCCAAUGAAGCCAUGCUCAGACUUGACCCGUAGGAACUGUGAGAAAAGGAAUGAUGACUCCAUGGGCAGAACCAAGAUCUUGGAGAGUGAAACUGAAAGCCUUGGUGGAUUAUUCCCAGGCUUGAAACCUAAUCAAGGAACUCUGGCUGGAUUUCAGAACUGCCAUGGACCAUGUUAAUGCGACAUUUUAAUGUUUUCAAAGAUCUUUGACCUCAUUUCAUAAUCAGUGAAAAUGAGCGAGGAGGACUUGCAUUGUUCAGAUAAGUCAACCACGGGAGGCUGACUUCUACAGACUGUAUCACCAGAUAUCUUUGCUAUCUGGCUACUAUUUGGGUUUGACCAAUAGGAGGCAUCAGUGGAAACUCAGAGGACCAAGAUUUCUGAGAAAACUCACUCUUGGUGAUCAUGCUGUAGACCUGGCUUUGUACACAGAAGGAGUGGACAACAUUACAAAUAAAUAAACAACGGCAACGGCAACGAUUCAUCAACUGAGAAGGAGACCAUGCUCAUCAUCCAGGAUAGAUGCGUCCCAUUUUAACAGAUUUAACGGAAGAAUAAAGAGAGGCUGUAAGACUGUUGCUGAGCCAACACCUGUGCCAAGGAUGCCGCCACAGCAUGGUUUAAAGAAUAGU